GACGAACGCUGGCGGCGUGCUUAACACAUGCAAGUCGAACGGAAAGGCCCUGCUUUUGUGGGGUGCUCGAGUGGCGAACGGGUGAGUAACACGUGAGUAACCUGCCCUUGACUUUGGGAUAACUUCAGGAAACUGGGGCUAAUACCGGAUAGGAGCUCCUGCUGCAUGGUGGGGGUUGGAAAGUUUCGGCGGUUGGGGAUGGACUCGCGGCUUAUCAGCUUGUUGGUGGGGUAGUGGCUUACCAAGGCUUUGACGGGUAGCCGGCCUGAGAGGGUGACCGGCCACAUUGGGACUGAGAUACGGCCCAGACUCCUACGGGAGGCAGCAGUGGGGAAUAUUGCACAAUGGGCGGAAGCCUGAUGCAGCAACGCCGCGUGCGGGAUGACGGCCUUCGGGUUGUAAACCGCUUUCGCCUGUGACGAAGCGUGAGUGACGGUAAUGGGUAAAGAAGCACCGGCUAACUACGUGCCAGCAGCCGCGGUGAUACGUAGGGUGCGAGCGUUGUCCGGAUUUAUUGGGCGUAAAGGGCUCGUAGGUGGUUGAUCGCGUCGGAAGUGUAAUCUUGGGGCUUAACCCUGAGCGUGCUUUCGAUACGGGUUGACUUGAGGAAGGUAGGGGAGAAUGGAAUUCCUGGUGGAGCGGUGGAAUGCGCAGAUAUCAGGAGGAACACCAGUGGCGAAGGCGGUUCUCUGGGCCUUUCCUGACGCUGAGGAGCGAAAGCGUGGGGAGCGAACAGGCUUAGAUACCCUGGUAGUCCACGCUGUAAACGGUGGGUACUAGGUGUGGGGUCCAUUCCACGGGUUCCGUGCCGUAGCUAACGCUUUAAGUACCCCGCCUGGGGAGUACGGCCGCAAGGCUAAAACUCAAAGGAAUUGACGGGGCCCCGCACAAGCGGCGGAGCAUGCGGAUUAAUUCGAUGCAACGCGUAGAACCUUACCUGGGUUUGACAUGGAUCGGGAGUGCUCAGAGAUGGGUGUGCCUCUUUUGGGGUCGGUUCACAGGUGGUGCAUGGCUGUCGUCAGCUCGUGUCGUGAGAUGUUGGGUUAAGUCCCGCAACGAGCGCAACCCUUGUUCACUGUUGCCAGCACGUUAUGGUGGGGACUCAGUGGAGACCGCCGGGGUCAACUCGGAGGAAGGUGGGGAUGACGUCAAGUCAUCAUGCCCCUUAUGUCCAGGGCUUCACGCAUGCUACAAUGGCUGGCACAGAGAGUGGCGAGCCUGUGAGGGUGAGCGAAUCUCGGAAAGCCGGUCUCAGUUCGGAUUGGGGUCUGCAACUCGACCUCAUGAAGUCGGAGUCGCUAGUAAUCGCAGAUCAGCAACGCUGCGGUGAAUACGUUCCCGGG
rnacentral:rRNA from 1 species